rnacentral:rRNA from 1 species
GACGAACGCUGGCGGCGUGCUUAACACAUGCAAGUCGAACGGAAAGGCCCUGCUUGCAGGGUCCUCGAGUGGCGAACGGGUGAGUAACACGUGGGUGAUCUGCCCUGCACUUCGGGAUAAGCCUGGGAAACUGGGUAUAAUACCGGAUAGGAGCCAUUUUUCGUGUGAUGGUUGGAAAGUUUUUUCGGUGUAGGAUGAGCUCGCGGCCUAUCAGCUUGUUGGUGGGGUAAUGGCCUACCAAGGCGGCGACGGGUAGCCGGCCUGAGAGGGUGGACGGCCACAUUGGGACUGAGAUGCGGCACAGACUACUACGGGAGGCAGCAGUGGGGAAUAUUGUACAAUGGGAGGAAGCCUGAUGCAGCGACGCCGCGUGGGGGAUGACGGCCUGCGGGUUGUAAACUCCUUUCGCUAGGGACGAAGCUUUUGUGACGGUACCUAGAUAAGAAGCACCGGCUAACUACGUG